rnacentral:rRNA from 1 species
AUUGAACGCUGGCGGCAGGCUUAACACAUGCAAGUCGAGCGGGGGAAGGUAGCUUGCUACCGGACCUAGCGGCGGACGGGUGAGUAAUGCUUAGGAAUCUGCCUAUUAGUGGGGGACAACAUCUCGAAAGGGAUGCUAAUACCGCAUACGUCCUACGGGAGAAAGCAGGGGAUCUUCGGACGUUGCGCUAAUAGAUGAGCCUAAGUCGGAUUAGCUAGUUGGUGGGGUAGGGGCCUAACAAGGCGACGAUCUGUAGGGGGUCUGAGAGGGUGGUCCGCCACACUGGGACUGAGACACGGCCCAGGCUCCUACGGGAGGCAGCAGUGGGGAAUAUUGGACAAUGGGGGGAACCCUGAUCCAGCCAUGCCGCGUGUGGGAAGAAGGCCUUAUGGUUGUAAAGCACUUUAAGCGAGGAGGAGGCUACUUUAGUUAAUACCUAGAGAUAGUGGACGUUACUCGCAGAAUAAGCACCGGCUAACUCUGUGCCAGCCGCCGCCGUAA